rnacentral:rRNA from 1 species
CACGUAGGGGGCAAGCGUUGUCCGGAUUCAUUGGGCGUAAAGAGCGUGUAGGCGGCCAGGUAGGUCGGUUGUGAAAACUGGAGGCUCAACCUUCAGAGGUCGACCGAAACCAUCUGGCUAGAGUCCGGGAGAGGAGAGUGGAAUUCCUGGUGUAGCGGUGAAAUGCGCAGAUAUCAGGAAGAACACCCGUGGCGAAAGCGGCUCUCUGGAACGGUACUGACGCUGAGACGCGAAAGCGUGGGGAGCGAACAGG